AGGGUGCUAGUUUAUGAAGAAUGCUUGAUUUGCAAUUAAGAGGAUGAAGAAAUUUUCAGCGCUCUGU
rnacentral:tRNA from 1 species